rnacentral:rRNA from 1 species
AUACGGAGGGUGCAAGCGUUAUCCGGAAUCAUUGGGUUUAAAGGGUCCGUAGGCGGACUAUUAAGUCAGAGGUGAAAUCCCACAGCUCAACUGUGGAACUGCCUUUGAUACUGGUAGUCUUGAGUUAUAUGGAAGUAGAUAGAAUGUGUAGUGUAGCGAUGAAAUGCAUAGAUAUUACACAGAAUACCGAUUGCGAAGGCAGUCUACUACGUAUAUACUGACGCUAAGGGACGAAAGCGUGGGGAGCGAACAGGAUUAGAAACCCCAGUAGUCC